AGUAUACGAAGGAAGGCGACAAGGAGAUGCGUGAGGGGCGUGUGAUGUCUGGACUAUGGGAGAGAUCUGGGAACAUUAUUAAGUUAUUUUGAGUUUUGGUGAAAACAUUUGAGACUGCAUCAUUUAUUUUAGGUCCUUGAGAUUAUCUUUGGUUCUAGAUUGCAUGCUAUAAUGUAAUUGUUAGUAAGUUAGUACUUUGAUGCUUUCUUGAGUUAUAGUUUUGAUAUGUUUCUGUUAGUAUAGUUAUGUUAUAAAUGCAUGUGAUGUAUGUAUUGGAUUUUAGUCCGCUGAACAGUAGAUAUUCUGUCGAAAUUUUAAGUUUUCUAGAAACAUUUAGUACAGCUUACUACACUAGUUGUUUUAGAAUCUAUAGUAGUUAAGUAGUGGUCACCUUUAGAGAGUAGUAAGAAGGGUGGUCAUUACAUUUUUGGCAGAGAGAAUGACUUGGACGCUGAUGAAGAGGGUCCAGAUGUUUCUCUGAAAAGCUUGGACUGGCAAGAUUCAAUCGUUGUUCAAUUCAUGAUUAGAUGCUCAAAAAUAGAACACGGAGCUUCAAUUGGUGUUACUGGAAGUGCCUACCAAUUAGGCAAAUGGAAGACACAGGAUGGACUAAGGCUAAAAUAUGCAGGAGACAAUACUUGGAAAGCAGAAUGUGUGUUGAGGAAAUAUGAGUUCCCACUUAAAUAUCCUUUUCUUUGGCCAUCCAAAUUUAAAUUAUUAAAAUUGUUUUUGUGCCAUUUUAGUGGAUUGCCCCGUUCUAUUUAUUGUGUAUUUUACUGGCCUACUUCAUAUUUUUGUCCUUAAUCAUAGUCACACGUAUAAAUAAGUGAAGUCAAAAUUAAUUCCCCUGCCUUUUGGUGUUCAGGGUAUAACAAUGACUACUAUGCAAUAUUUCCUUUGAUAUAGUAAGAUGUGCUAUGUGAAUUAGAAUCCUUGCAUGUUCACCUGAUGCUGAUAUGUUUGUUAUCUUGCUUCUCAGGAAGUUAGUUAUCUACACCAUCUGUGCUCGUAGGAAAUCUUUGUUCAUCAUUGGACGUUCAUUUUAUUGUGCUUGAGUUGAUUGCUUGCUGGACAUUGACUCAGUACACAUUGAGAAGUGUAAAGUUUUUCUUAUGAUGGUAAUUCGAAAAUUAGUUUGUAUUCUUAUUAGCUUUAAAUGAAGGAGAUUUGCUCCUGUUCUUCUUGAUCCUGCAAUAGAAUUCACGUUUCUAAAUUACAAUAGCAGGAU